rnacentral:rRNA from 1 species
UAGGGAAUCUUCCGCAAUGGACGAAAGUCUGACGGAGCAACGCCUCGUGAGUGAAGAAGGAUUUCGGUUCGUAAAACUCUGUUGUUAGGGAAGAAAAAAUGUAUAGUAACUAUAUACAAAAGAGACGGUACCUAACCAGAAAGCCACGGCUAACUACGUGCCAGCAGCCGCGGUAAUACGUAGGUGGCAAGCGUUGUCCGGAAUUAUUGGGCGUAAAGCGCGCGCAGGUGGUUUAGAAAGUCUGAUGUGAAAGCCCACGGCUCAACCGUGGAGGGUCAUUGGAAACUAAUAAACUUGAGUGCAGGAGAGAAAAGUGGAAUUCCUAGUGUAGCGGUGAAAUGCGUAGAGAUUAGGAGGAACACCGGUGGCGAAAGCGGCUUUUUGGCCUGCAACUGACACUGAGGCGCGAAAGCGUGGGGAGCAAACAGG